UAUAUAUAAGUUGUGAUACACGAAGUGUGGGACUUGGACAAUAUUGCUUACGGAAAUUGUACAAUGGCUUUAAGCUUCGUUUUCUUGCAUCACUGCCUCGAUGUUCACUUUAUCAUUUCGCUUUUAAAAGUUCCUGUACAUUCUAUAAAGAUGAAUCAAUGUGCAAUCCAAAACGCAUGUCAAAUAUCAAAUUGAAACUCAUGUUUGCUGCAUGAUUUGAUGAACCUUACACACUGUGUUGCUUUGAAGGAUAGAUGAACUAAGCUGACCUACAAUAUGAUACGAUUUGGAGAUUGCAUCUAUACAGUACACAGUCAACCCUCCUACUAUUUAAUCAUUCAAUGAGUGGUUUUGAAGGAUAUAUAAACUUUGCUGUUGGUGAUUAUAUCUAUACAGUACACAGUCAACCCUCCUACUGUUUAAUCUUUCAUUGUGUUUUUUUGAAGGAUUUUAUAAACUUUGCUAACAUACAACAUGAUACCAUGUGGAGAUUGAAUCUGUAUAGUACACAGUCAACCCAAAGAUGCCAAGUCCAGAGGCCAGCUAUGCCAGAGAUUUUUCAAAGGUCUGUCAACCCUCCUACUGUAUGGUCAUUCAGUGUAUGGUUAUUCAGUGUAUGGUUUUGAAUGAUAGAUAAACUUCACUGACCUACAAUGAGGUAAUUGCAUCUAUACAGAACACAGUCAACCCUCCUACUGUUUGGUCAUUCAGUGUAUGGUCAUUCAGUGUAUGGUUUUGAAUGGUAGAUAAACUUCACAAACCUAUAAUGAGGUAAUUGCAUCUACA